rnacentral:rRNA from 1 species
CCUACGGGAGGCUGCAGUGAGGAAUAUUGGUCAAUGGGCGAGAGCCUGAACCAGCCAAGUCGCGUGAGGGAGUACUGCCCUAUGGGUUGUAAACCUCUUUUGUCGGGGAGCAAAAGCCGGACGUGUCCGGCUGUGAGAGUACCCGAAGAAAACGCAUCGGCUAACUCCGUGCCAGCAGCCGCGGUAAUACGGAGGAUGCGAGCGUUAUCCGGAUUUAUUGGGGUUAAAGGGUGCGCAGGCGGAUUUGUAAGUCAGCGGUCAAAUCGUGGGGCUCAACCCCAUCCUGCCUUUGAAACUGGCAAACUGGAGUGUGUGAGAGGAUAGUGGAAUUCCAGGUGUAGGAGUGAAAUCCGUAGAUAUCUGGAGGAACAUCAGUGGCGAAGGCGACUAUCUGGCACAUAACUGACGCUGAGGAGCGAAAGCGUGGGUAGCAAACAGGAUUAGAUACCCGGGUAGUC